GCAUGAAUGGCCGAGCGGUCUAAGGCGUUGGAUUUAAGUCCCAAUGACAGCAAUGUCGCGUGAGUUCGAACCUCACUUCAUGCA